GUCGAGCGGGGUAGCGGGCUUCGGUCUGUUACCUAGCGGCGAACGGUUGAGUAACACGUAGGCAACCUGCCCCGGAGUGGGGGACAACUCGUGGAAACGCGGGCUAAUACCGCAUGUGGCCGGAGAUCGCAUGAUCUCUGUGCUAAAGGCGAAAGUCGCUCCGGGAGGGGCCUGCGGCCUAUCAGCUUGUUGGUGAGGUAACGGCUCACCAAGGCGACGACGGGUAGCUGGUCUGAGAGGAUGAUCAGCCAGACAGGGACUGAGACACGGCCCUGACUCCUUUGGGGGGCAGCAAUGAGGGAUAUUGCACAAUGGGCGAAAGCCUGAUGCAGCGACGCCGCGUGGGUGAUGAAGUCUUUCGGGAUGUAAAGCCCUUUUCUCGGGGACGAAACGGACGGUACCCGAGGAAUAAGCCCCGGCUAACUACGUGCCAGCAGCCGCGGUAAUACGUAGGGGGCAAGCGUUGUCCGGAUUUACUGGGCGUAAAGCGCGUGUAGGCGGUCUCUUAAGUCCGGGGUGAAAGGCAGGGGCUCAACCCCUGAGCUGCGCCGGAAACUGGGAGACUUGAGUGUCGGAGAGGGAAGUGGAAUUCCUGGUGUAGCGGUGAAAUGCGUAGAGAUCAGGAGGAACACCCGUGGCGAAGGCGGCUUCCUGGCCGAACACUGACGCUGAGACGCGAAAGCGUGGGGAGCGAACGGGAUUAGAUACCCCGGUAGUCCACGCCGUAAACGAUGGUCACUAGGUGUACGCGGUAUCGACCCCGCGUGUGCCGCAGCUAACGCAAUAAGUGACCCGCCUGGGGGAGUACGGCCGCAAGGUUGAAACUCAAAGGAAUUGACGGGGG
rnacentral:rRNA from 1 species